CUCCCUGUAAGUGGAGGUGGAGGGAACCCGAGUUGCUUCUCCUCCCCAUUUCUUAAGCCUCUCCCGCCAGAACGGUCCAGUCUGCCAUGUGGUUGAUUCAGCCCGCCAAUAUGAGGCGCCCCACCACCACCUCCGCCCAGCACCUGGCCAGGUGGGAGGGUGGGGCCCAAAAGCCCAGCCUGGAGCAUUCAUCGUGUUUCCCCUAGAACUGAGACAGAUUGACGAGAUGCCGGAGGCUGCCGUGAAAUCAACAGCCAACAAAUACCAAGUCUUUUUUUUCGGGACCCACGAGACGUGAGUGAGGGA
rnacentral:lncRNA from 1 species